CGCAAAAGAUGAACAAAACCCGGGAUUGUCACUCAUUCUCAAAGUCUCAAAACUGUCUAAAUCGUAUCACGAGAUUUGUCCACACCGGACAACUGGAGAAAAACCAUUAAAGGUUAUGUAAUGUUGACAUCGCUUCGUUGGUGAGCGCAUCGGGGCAGAUGGGAGCGCAGCAGGAGAGAAUUUUUUUCUUACGGGGCUAAUGCCGCACGCCUGGAGUGUUUACGACGCUUUAAUAACCGGAGCAGCUUUAAGAUUCAGUUCAAAGAGACGCGCGUUAUUUUCGUAUUUAAAAAUCAACUCUGCUGGAAAUAGAUUUUUGAAAAUAUGGAUUUCUUUAAUUCAAUGUAUGCAACAUACAAUACACCAAUCCAAGAAACUGCUAUUACUUUCAGAAGAUUACAAUAUUCUUUAAAUUAUGCAAAUUAGAAACAAAUGCUAUGGUUUAUUACAUUAUAAAAUUAUUAUUUUCUCAUUAAAUACAAUAUAACUAAUAA